GUUUAUUACUCAUUUGAUAAUCGAUGAAUUUCUAGACGAAUUUGGUAAGCUGUCAAAGGAAGAACUCAUUCAAAAAUCAAAAGAGCUGAAGGAGAUUUUUCCGACCACAGAAGAGCAUGUGUGGUAUCAACCGACGACAGUCCGCGAUGUGAAUGGUCGAAAAAUAAAGCUGGGACGCUUAGCCAAAGGGUGCUUGUUCGACAGAAACCACAACUAUAAAGCAAGCACAAAUUCGAGGUAUACAAAUCUUGGUUCCAAUCAUCACACAUUUCCCGACCGUCGGCUUCAAACUGUAGAGGACAAUUUUACUGAAGAGACAGUAUAAUGAAACAAAACGCUGGGUUCGACACCACCAAGAUGAGUGGGAGGAUCUGAAGAUUAAAUGGAAUACAUGGAGUUCAGUUCGCCUUUACGAAAUUACUAAGAUAGAGAAUUUAACUUUCGAGUAUAUUUUGGAGGAGUAUCCCAUUAUAAGGAACAGUGAAGGAUUUCAGCUGAUAAAGUUGGAUUUCAAACAUCGCUAUCCCGAAAAGAACAAUUUGUUGUGGACUUACGCAAACGAAUUCAACCAGUAUUUUACAGCGUCGUCGGUGAUCAGGGACGGCAUUUACUGAAGUUACUUGAACAAAAUCUAUCUGAAGGUAUGAAAUCUAUGUUUAUAUUAGGUAAAUAUUUAUAGCACAGAACAUCCAUGAUCUAACAAAAAUGUUUAAAAAACGUGUGUAAACAUUUGAAUUGAUAUAUGAUAAACACUAGC